UGGGUCCCGACCCUUACAGGUCAUGUAUGUGGCCACCAGGGGGUCAAAUUCCGGUGUUGUGGCCACUUUGUCUGGCAGGACGGGUCUGGGGCAUUCUGCCCGCAUCUUCUUGCGAACCUCCCAUUCAAGAGGUCUGCGUACCCAGUAGUGCACGAAUUGUGCCGAGUGGUCAGGCAAUGACCAGUCUGAGGAUCUGGGGUGCCAGAUGGAUCGAGG